GCGAGUGAGCGGCAAAAGCUCAAAUUUGAAAUCUGGUACCUUUGGUGCCCGAGUUGUAAUUUGGAGAGUACCACUUUGGGACUGUACUUUGCCUAUGUUCCUUGGAACAGGACGUCAUGGAGGGUGAGAAUCCCGUGUGGCGAGGGUGUCAGUUCUUUGUAAAGGGUGCUCGAAGAGUCGAGUUGUUUGGGAAUGCAGCUCUAAGUGGGUGGUAAAUUCCAUCUAAAGCUAAAUACAGGCGAGAGACCGAUAGCGAACAAGUACAGUGAUGGAAAGAUGAAAAGAACUUUGAAAAGAGAGUGAAAAAGUACGUGAAAUUGUUGAAAGGGAAGGGCAUUUGAUCAGACAUGGUGUUUUGCGCCCCUUGCCUCUCGUGGGCUUGGGACUCUCGCAGCUCACUGGGCCAGCAUCGGUUUUGGCGGCCGGAAAAAACCUAGGGAAUGUGGCUCUGCGCCUCGGUGUAGAGUGUUAUAGCCCUGGGGAAUACGGCCAGCCGGGACCGAGGACUGCGAUACUUGUUAUCUAGGAUGCUGGCAUAAUGGUUAUAUGCCGCCCGUCUUGA
rnacentral:rRNA from 1 species